AUAGCCUUCCCCUUCAGCGGCCACGACCACGAGUGCCCGGACGCCCGCCACCCGUUGCCAUGGCCUCCUCCCUGGCCGCCUUCCACUCCGCAGCCGGCCACGUCCCCCGCCCUCGCAGGCAGCAGGGCGCCGCCCACGGGCGCGCCUUCUCCAUCCUCCAGCUGCUCCACCUUCCGCCGGAGCCGCUGCCCCGCCGCCGCUCCCGAAGGGUCGCCGCUGAGUUCGCGACUGGCGGCGCUGGCACCACCACCGGCGAUGGCGGCGGCGGCAGGACGAGGGGAGUCGUGGGCGUCGACGUUGCCGCGGUCGCUGCUGUGCUGCGUGAGGCCAGAACGGCUGAUGACGUGGAGCUUCUGGUGAAUGGUAUCUUGGAAGGCGGCGCCGGCGAGGGCGGCCUCCUGCCCCUCCAAGUGUACACCACCGUGAUUCGGGGGCUCGGCAAGGAGAACUGCCUGGACGCCGCGUUCGCCGUCGUCGAGCAUCUCAAACGGAGAGGGGUCAGGCUCAACCAAUUCCUUUACAACUGCCUCCUCGGCGCUGUCAAGAACUGCGGCGAGUUCGGGCGGAUUGAGGGUGUUCUCGCUGACAUGGAAGCGCAGGGAAUCUCCCCAAACAUUGUGACCUUCAACACCCUGAUGUCCGUCUAUGUUCAACAGGGCAAGACGGACGAUGUCUUCAGGGUGUACGCCGAAAUUGAAGGCCGGGGACUCGUGCCGACUGCAGCAACAUACUCCACUCUGAUGUCAGCCUACAAGAAGGCCGGGGAUGCGUUUGCAGCCAUCAAGUUCUUUGUCAUGCUCAGGGAGAGGUACAAGAAGGGUGAGUUGGUGGGGAACCAUGACAAUUGGGAGCAGGAGUUUGUCAAGUUUGAGAAGCUUACUGUCCGGGUGUGUUACAUGUCAAUGCGACGGUCUCUUGUCAGUGGGCAGAAUCCGGUCGGUGAGGUGUUGAAGGUUCUCCUUGCCAUGGAUGAAGCAGGUGUGAGGCCAGAAAGAAGCGAUUAUGAGAGGCUUGUCUGGGCGUGCACUGGGGAGGAACAUUACGCCAUUGGCAAGGAGCUGUAUCAGAGGAUUCGUGAGCGUGAUGGGGAGAUAAGCCUGUCGGUCUGCAACCAUCUGAUUUGGCUGAUGGGCAAGUCUAAGAAAUGGUGGGCAGCUCUUGAGAUUUAUGAGGAUUUGUUGGAGAAAGGGCCGAAGCAGAACAAUUUGUCUUAUGAGCUGAUCAUGUCACAUUUCAACAUUCUGCUGAAUGCUGCAAAGAGAAGGGGAACUUGGAGGUGGGCUGUUAGGCUGCUUAACAAGAUGCAAGAGAAGGGCUUGAAGCCUGGAAGCAAAGAGUGGAAUGCAGUUCUACUUGCAUGUUCAAGGGCUUCUGAAACAUCGGCCGCAGUGGAUAUCUUCAAGAAAAUGGUAGAGGAAGGGUUGAAACCAGAUAUAGUUUCCUAUGGAGCACUGCUGAGUGCACUUGAGAAAGGCAAGCUAUAUGAUGAGGCCCUGAGAGUCUGGGAACACAUGUGCAAAGUUGGUGUUAAGCCAAACCUGUAUGCAUAUACAAUUUUGGUUUCAAUUUACAUUGGUAAGGGCAAUCAUGCUAUGGUAGAUACUGUUCUUCACGAUAUGGUGUCAACACAGAUUGAGCCAACAGUUGUAACCUUCAACGCAAUAAUCAGCGCAUGUGUGAGGAAUAAUAUGGGUGGCACUGCUUUUGAGUGGUUUCACAGGAUGAAAAUGCGGAGCAUUGAGCCAAAUGAAAUUACGUAUCAGAUGUUGAUUGAAGCUCUUGUACAAGAUGGUAAACCAAGGCUUGCCUACGAGAUGUACAAGAGGGCUUGCAGCCAAGGUCUUGAACUUCCUGCAAAGUCAUAUGACACUGUAAUGGAGGCAUGUAAAGCUUAUGGUUCCCUCAUAGAUCUAACUACUUUGGGUCUUCGCCCUACGAAAAGGGAGGAACCCAUCAGGUUAGAGGAUAACUUUUCGAGUUUUUCUCAAAUCAAGGAGCUGCCUAACAGUACUCAACAUUUUGGAGGCACUGGAAUGUAUGGAUUUUUUAGAUACAGAAUGGCAAGACCAUAAUUAUAGCAUGCUACCACUCCCUUGUAUAGUUGUCUUCACCCUCAAAAACCUAUUCAACAUUAAAAAAAGGGUCACUGACAUAUUUGUAAUAGGAGUUACUAUGAAACGACCCACUGCCUUCUGAUGGUUUCACCAAGUUUCCUAUGGGAUCUGAAACUUGAAACCAAAGGUUUGUUAUUGUCGUGCUGUCUUUUGCAGUUUUCCAUUAAAUUCAUUUCUGUGUUCCACGUUGAAUUGCAUAUGCCGAACUGUCCCAAGUCGCCUAGUGUCCAAGACUCCAGGUUACACUCAAUCACCCUCCCACAUACAGUUUCUAUGUCAGGUUUUGCUCUGGUGAAUCUCCCGUGUCCAGCUUCAGUACUUCCCUUCAUGAACUACAAAUUUUAUGAAUACAAUUGUACACCUUUUAACUUCUGCAUACAACUAAUGUCUUAUUUUUAUUUUUUUGGUUUGUUACAUGACAUUUUACAUUUGGUGGUAAUGUUUGAAAUCCCAUGAUUAAUAACAAAGACAAAGACCUGAUAACUGAUAUGGACUAUUCAGGGCAAAACCUGAUAUGGCCUUCCCUGAAAUGGAAGCAUGUAAAGCUUAUGGUUCCCUCAUAGAUCUAACUACUUUGGGUCCUCACCCUAGAAAAGGGAGGAACCCAUCAUGUUAGAGAAUAACUUUUCGAGUUUUUCUCAAAUCAAGGAGCUGCCUAACAGUACUCAACAUUUUGGAGGCACUGGAAUGUAUGGAAUUUUUAGAUACAAAAUGGCAAGACCAUGAUUGUAGCAUGCUACUACUCCCUUGUAUAGUUGUCUUCACCCUCCAAAACCUAUUCAACAUUAAAAAAAAAGGGUUAUUGACAUAUUUUUAAGUUCCCCAAAUUGUAAAAGUUAGUACAUUAGCAUUUUUUUAUUCCUCUUAUGUUAGAGUAGGUGUUUUAAACUUUGUUUAAGUAAUUAUUUUUCUUGUCUGCUGUAGUUCAAACUUUACUGCAUUAAUCUGUUAACCCCCAUACUUAAUGGUAACAAUUAUUUGAAAAACACCAUAUGCUUCUUUUUUUAAGUUUGCAUGCAUAUAUUUGUGUAAGUAGUUUGCUGAUCCAAACAGUAGUUAACUUUCCUAAAUUAUUAAAUUUGGUACAUUAGCAUUUUUUUCAUUCUUCUUAUGUUAAUAUGGAUCUUUAAGCAAUUAUUUUGCCUGUCUACCAUAGUACAAAGUUUAUUCGAUUCUGUUGAUUUAUCCCCACACUUAGAGUUAACAUGUGUUUGAAAAAGCAUCAUGUGCUUUUCUUACUUGCAUGCAGAUAUACGUGUCAAAAAAAAAAUUGGCCCGAACAGUUGUUACAUUUUAAUCAUGUUAGUUUUAGUAUAUCACUAGAAAGACAUAGGAUACUCGCAAAACAAAAGCAGUCUAAAAAUCUUCAGGCUUUGCGGUGCAAUUUGAAGUGUCGAACCUUAUCCCCCACUCUGUUCAGGUAAUAGGAGUUACUACGAAACGACCCACUGCCUUCUGAUGGUUUCACCUAGUUUCCUGUGGAUCUGAAACUUGAAAUCAAGGGUUUGUUACUGUCGUGCACUCGUGCUGUCUUUUGCAGUUUUCCACUAAAUUCAUUUCUGUGUUCCACGUUGAAUUGCAUAUGCAGAACUGUCCCAAGUCGAACAUACCAUCCACAUUGGGUUUGCGGCUCAUGCCCAAGACUCCAGGUUACACUAAAUCACCCUCCCCCAUAGGCCAGUUUCUAUGUCAGGUUUUGCUCUGGUGAAUCUCCCGUGUCCAGCUUUACUACUUCCCUUAAUGAACGACAAAUUUUAUGAAUACGAUAGUACAUCCUUUAACUUCUGCAUACAACUAAUGUCUUAUUUUUAUGUUUUUGGUUUGUUACAUGACAUUUUACAUUUGGUGGUAAUGUUUGAAAUCCCAUGAUUAAUAACAAAGACAAAGAUCUGAUAACUGAUAUAGACUAUUCAGGGCAAAACCUGAUAUGGCCUUCCUUGAAGUUAUUAUUGCAGGGAAAGCACAACUAUAUUUUGUACAACCUCCGGUUGGAUUUUAUUUGUGGUCCGGACCGGAUAGGUUGGUUUACUAAGGAUUGAUUUUUGUUGGAAUGACAAAUAAAUGCGACCGGCAGUAGUACAA